rnacentral:rRNA from 1 species
AUGGCGAAGGACGCUCAAGUAAGAGGAGCGGCCCCAAUGGUGGCGGCCUCGAGCACCGGGAUAAGUGCAGGCUGGGGAUGCAGGAGAGGUGCAGCGCGGGGCUCGGGGCUCCGACGAGCUGGGUGCGGCGCGACGGACGACGACGGACGCAGGGACUCAUUGAUCCGGGCGCUGGUGCUCAAUCCGGUCCCGUUCCGGCCGGAUCCGCGGCGGUGCUCAUCUCCGGCGAGGUGGCCGGGGUGGCGGGGGUCCAGCAUCAUGGAGCCUCUUCGAGGGCGAGGAAGCAGACGGUGA